rnacentral:rRNA from 1 species
UACGAAGGGGACUAGCGUUGUUCGGAAUCACUGGGCGUAAAGCGCACGUAGGCGGUUUUGUAAGUCAGGGGUGAAAUCCCGGGGCUCAACCUCGGAACUGCCUUUGAUACUGCGAAUCUUGAGUCCGAUAGAGGUGGGUGGAAUUCCUAGUGUAGAGGUGAAAUUCGUAGAUAUUAGGAAGAACACCGGUGGCGAAGGCGGCCCACUGGAUCGGUACUGACGCUGAGGUGCGAAAGCGUGGGGAGCAAACAGG